GCAGGCGUGGCGGAAUUGGCAGACGCGCUAGACUUAGGAUCUAGUGGGUAACUCCGUGAGAGUUCGAGUCUCUCCGCCUGCACCA
rnacentral:tRNA from 1 species